rnacentral:rRNA from 1 species
UGCCAGCCGCCGCGGUAAUACGGAGGGUGCAAGCGUUGUUCGGAAUUAUUGGGCGUAAAGCGGGUGUAGGCGGUUCGUUAAGUCUGAUGUGAAAGCCCGGGGCUUAACUGUGGAGGGUGAUUUGAAACUGGCGAGCUUGAGUACGGCAGAGGUUAGUGGAAUUCAAUGUGUAGCGGUGAAAUGCGUAGAUAUCUGGAGGAACAUCAGUGGCGAAGGCGGCUCCCUGGCCAAAGACUGACGCUCAUGUGCGAAAGUGUGGGUAGCGAACAGGAUUAGAUA